rnacentral:rRNA from 1 species
AGUAGCGAACGGGUGAGUAACGCGUGGGUAACCUACCUAUCAGCGGGGGAUAACUAUUGGAAACGAUAGCUAAUACCGCAUAACAAUGUUGGAUGCAUAUUCGACAUUUGAAAGUACCAACUGGUACACUGAGAGAUGGACCCGCGUUGU